UACGUAGGGCGCAAGCGUUGUCCGGAAUUAUUGGGCGUAAAGAGCUCGUAGGCGGCUUGUCACGUCGGGUGUGAAAAUCCAGGGCUUAACCCUGGGCCUGCAUUCGAUACGGGCAGACUAGAGUUCGGUAGGGGAGACUGGAAUUCCUGGUGUAGCGGUGAAAUGCGCAGAUAUCAGGAGGAACACCGGUGGCGAAGGCGGGUCUCUAGGCCGACACUGACGCUGAGGAGCGAAAGCGUGGGGAGCGAACAGG
rnacentral:rRNA from 1 species